rnacentral:sRNA from 1 species
UUAUAUUCUCCGCCGGGGGGGAUGAGAACCCCCGACCGGGGUUCGACUACUGGCAACGCCAGUAGGACAGACCGCGAGCCUGCGAGCGGGCUGCCCCGCAGGGGCGAGCGAAGCGAGUCAAUCCCCCCCUCACCGCCA